rnacentral:lncRNA from 1 species
CAUGCAAUAAUUACGAAUUCCUCUUCUUACUCGUCCCAAAAUGGGUUAUAAUGCACGCUCAAUUAGGAAGCCCGGCAAUACAGAAGCACAAAUUAGUCCUAACAUACAAUUUGCAUUUAACGCCAACUAAAAAAUUACUCAACAAUUUCAGGAGCACAUUCCCAUACCUAACACCAGCACCAAUCACAGCAACACUUUUAGCAGAAGAACCUGAAAAAAGAAUCCCAACAGUUAAUCUCUGAAGAAAUUUAAAAGUUAUUCUAAAUUCUAACUUUAUAAAUGGAAAGUCACUAAGACAUAUUGUCGUAAAGCAACAGUACCUUGCUUAUCUUCUUUGAUUGCUGAAGCCAUAGCCAGUUUUACAGUCCACUGACGGGAGUUUUUUCCGCCAAAGCGUUGCCGAGUGGAUAUUAAAGGUGAGCGAUUUAUCCAGUCAUCUCGAGCAUUCAUCGAAUUGCGAAUUUAAUCGCUAAUUGAGUAAUUUGUUCAGAAGUUGAUGUCCAUAAGCGUAAAUGACGAAC